GAUGAAGAACGUAGUGAAAUGCGAUACUUGGUGUGAAUUGCAGAAUCCCGUGAACCAUCGAGUCUUUGAACGCAAGUUGCGCCCGAAGCCAUUAGGCCGAGGGCACGCCUGCCUGGGCGUCACACGUCGUUGCCCCCCCAUCUACUCCUUCGGGAUUGCGGGGGGCGGAUGAUGGCCUCCCGUGCGCCUUGUCGCGCGGUUGGCAUAAAUACCAAGUCCUCGGCGACGCACGCCACGACAAUCGGUGGUUGCGAAACCUCGGUUGCCCGUCGUGUGCGGUCGUCGCGCAUCGAGGGCUCGAAAAAAUUGCCGGGCUCCGGCUCGGCUUUCAACGCGACCCCAGGUCAGGCGGGGUUACCCGCUGAAUUUAAGCAUAUCAAUAAGCGGAGGA
rnacentral:misc_RNA from 1 species